rnacentral:rRNA from 1 species
GGUCAAGCUACAAAGGGCUCACGGAGGAUACCUAGGCACACAGAGGCGAUGAAGGACGUGGUUACCUGCGAUAAGUCUCGGGGAGUUGGAAGCACACUUUGAUCCGGGAUUUCCGAAUGGGGCAACCCCUUGAACGACCAACUGAAUAUAUAGGUUGGUGCGAGCUAACCCAGCGAACUGAAACAUCUUAGUAGCU